GACGAACGCUGGCGGCGUGCUUAACACAUGCAAGUCGAGCGGAAAGGCCACUUCGGUGGUACUCGAGCGGCGAACGGGUGAGUAACACGUGAGUAAUCUGCCCUUGGCUUUGGGAUAGCCACCGGAAACGGUGAUUAAUACCGGAUAUGACCACUUCACGCACGUGAUGGUGGUGGAAAGUUUUUCGGUCAGGGAUGUGCUCGCGGCCUAUCAGCUUGAUGGUGAGGUAAUGGCUCACCAUGGCUUCGACGGGUAGCCGGCCUGAGAGGGUGACCGGUCACACUGGGACUGAGACACGGCCCAGACUCCUACGGGAGGCAGCAGUGGGGAAUAUUGGACAAUGGGCGGAAGCCUGAUCCAGCAACGCCGCGUGAGGGAUGACGGCCUUCGGGUUGUAAACCUCUUUCGCCUAUGACGAAGCGCAAGUGACGGUAAUAGGUAAAGAAGCACCGGCCAACUACGUGCCAGCCGCCGCCGUAACAC
rnacentral:rRNA from 1 species